rnacentral:rRNA from 1 species
CCUACGGGAGACAGCAGUGAGGAAUAUUGGUCAAUGGACGAGAGUCUGAACCAGCCAAGUAGCGUGAAGGAUGACUGCCCUAUGGGUUGUAAACUUCUUUUAUAUGGGAAUAAAACGUUCCACGUGUGGGAUUUUGUAUGUACCAUAUGAAUACGGAUCGGCUAACUCCGUGCCAGCAGCCGCGGUAAUACGGAGGAUCCGAGCGUUAUCCGGAUUUAUUGGGUUUAAAGGGAGCGUAGGUGGAUUGUUAAGUCAGUUGUGAAAGUUUGCGGCUCAACCGUAAAAUUGCAGUUGAAACUGGCAGUCUUGAGUACAGUAGAGGUGGGCGGAAUUCGUGGUGUAGCGGUGAAAUGCUUAGAUAUCACGAAGAACUCCGAUUGCGAAGGCAGUUCACUGGACUGCAACUGACACUGAGGCUCGAAAGUGUGGGUAUCAAACAGGAUUAGAUACCCGUGUAGUC